rnacentral:rRNA from 1 species
UCUGGGAGUAAACGGGUGGUACCCGAAAGUUCGAAAGGGGAGAUUCAAGUUUCGCCGCGCGCUGGGCGGUGGACGCGAGAAGAGAUGUUGUUUUCGCGGUUGAAGGUUAGCCUUUGAUCCGGAAGCAUCACUCCGCGGCCAUCGUAAAAUCCCGGCGUCGGAGUGACGCACUUCUCCCCGAGUAGGACGUCGCGACCCGUCGAAAGCCGGCCUAAGAUUAAGGGGAGAGUCUGUGCAUCCUGUUUCGGCCGGGUGCGCAUGAUCUCUUAAAUUCCGGCCGGUUGAACGACGGUAGGAAACAUGGAAGGAGUCGACGCGCCACAAAAUAUUAUUACGUUGGCGUCCGGCCCUCCGCAAGCGCCCGUGGGGGUUCGGGUUGCGGGCCCGGCCCGAUUCCGAUCCCACCACGGGGCUGUUUGCGAUUACGGAGGUGUCCUCGGACGGCGUUGAUUCUCCAGUCAGCGACGCUUCAGCUUGGAUGGCCUACCCGACCC